GUUUGGUUAAGUUAGAAAGGGCGCACGGUGGAUGCCUUGACACUAGGAGUCGAUGAAGGACGGGACUAACGCCGAUAUGCUUCGGGGAGCUGUAAGUAAGCUUUGAUCCGAAGAUUUCCGAAUGGGGAAACCCACUAUACGUAAUGGUAUGGUAUCCUUACCUGAAUACAUAGGGUAUGGAAGACAGACCCAGGGAACUGAAACAUCUAAGUACCUGGAGGAAGAGAAAGCAAAUGCGAUUUCCUGAGUAGCGGCGAGCGAAACGGAACAUAGC
rnacentral:rRNA from 1 species